GUUAACUGAGCCAUUUGCUCUUGUGGUGCUCCUCAUCCAGCAGGGAGAAUCAGUGCUAACUAAAUUGCAACACAACUUGGAAAAUGCUGCACCAAGGGGGACUAACUCCAACUUCACUUGGAAGCAUCAGCUCCUAAUAUGUCAGAGUUGACCCUCACAGAGCAUCCUAACGAAAGACCAUCCAAAAGAGGGCGUCCACGUGUUCGACAUUGGCUCCUGAAGGGCUUGCCCUCCUCUGCAGUCAUUUCCUGAUUAACAGUGGAUCCAUUUAGUUGAAUUGUGGUCAGACUGGUUGUGUCUGUGGACAUAGAAAUACCGAUGACCUGAUUUCCCCCAGGAGUCUUUCAGCUUCCGGACAGGACAUGGCAGAAGUUGAGAGUGACAAUGUUAACCUAAGAGAUUUGGGAGCCAGGAGGAAGAUUCUGACAUUGCUAAUUAGAGAGAUACUACAGGGAUUAUAACAAAUCUGGAGAAUGAACUCUAAGAUCACCAGGUGGUGCCCCUGGAACUUGUCCAGCUGCCCAAAUAUGGAAGAGAAUGAGACUUCAAGGAAGGAUGGUCUCUUUUGUCUAUGGAAUUAACCUAUGUUAAUUUAUUUCCUACUAAAUUUCAAGCUACAGUGUAGAAGCUUUAAUUAGCACUCAGAACCAAGGAUGGGUCCAGUGGGACUGUCCCAAGAACGCGUGCACACAAGCUCAUCUCCAAACUCAUCCCGAAUACUAAUUAGCCCCACAAGUUCUCCAAGGGCCUUGUCUGCUAAUUUGGAACCUGGCGAUGAGCUCUAUCUCUGCCUAGCCUUGGAGAACAAGGACACACAUCUCUUCACCUCCAUUAUCAAUGUCAUGCCAACGGCCCAGGGGGACUAUGGAAUCAUUAAUGACUCCUCAUUGGUUGGCAGAGCAACUUGAAGCCCUUCACAAAGUGACUCUGCCUGGUUUGCUCCUCCACAUCCAACUGUGACAUAAUGGGGUUAGUUCAGUGGACAACAACACUGCUGCAGUCUGGUGAGGACAUUGGCCUCACCCCCUACAAUGCUGACCUCGGAUGGAAAUGUACAUUCUCGAGGCUUUGAACACAAAGGUGAACACAAGAACACUU
rnacentral:lncRNA from 1 species